GGAGAGGUGGCCGAGUGGUCGAAGGCGCUCCCCUGCUAAGGGAGUAGAGGUGAAAAGCUUCUCGUGGGUUCGAAUCCCAUCCUCUCCGCCA
rnacentral:tRNA from 1 species